CCCAACAAUUAUAUUAGCAAUUUUCAGCAAUAAAAAUUAACAAUUUUCAACACUUCAAACACAUAAAAAUAGGGUAAAUAAUUCUUAAGUUCUAGCAACAGGCGAUGAUUACCCCACAUGGUAACUUCAAACCUAAAGAUCACCUAACACGAUGGCCUGCUAUAAUAGGAAGGUAAAAUAGAUCGACCAAUUUAUCAGUUGGACCAAUCUGUCAAACUAUAAAUAAAGGAGAGAUAAAAAAUAUUCUAGUAAGGGCCACCACGAUUUGCCCUAAAACUUUCAGCAACUCCAAAAAACAAAAAGGCACCUGACAACCGAAUGCACAAAGACAAAAUUAUAAAGAUUCUAGCAAACUACAUGAAACACAAGAGUAACACCACUAGUAGGUCUGAAAUACAAACAUGAACAAGUUGGCUUCAAAGACCUUCGUUGGAAUCAUCGCCACAUGCCACCUCAGUCUUUACUCAUGUGCUGCACACGCUAUUGCUUCUACUAUUCCAUGCGCCUGCUAUACAGCUCCGCCUCGUCAUCUAGAGUUGGAAUAUGGUGUCUGUUGUUCACCAUGGGUCUGGUUUCACCAAAAAUGGAUUUGCAGGGUUGGUUUUAUUGAUUUCAACAAUUUUUGUACAUAUCGAGCUCUGAUACCGAUUUGUGAUAAAAGUACUUGCCAUUAGCUUUUAAUUGAUGUACAUAAAGGGGCUCUGUUUGUAAAUCCAAUAUCAAUAUCAUAAAGAUCCUCCAAAAUCCAUAGCUCAACCUAAAAAAUAUUUACUAAGGUUACCCAAGUACAUAUAUAACCCACAAAGGAUAACAUCUCACAAAGAGGAGGAGAAGAUGGCUGCUCACUAACAAAGAGGAAGAGAUAAAAAAUCACGACAUUUUGCUUAACAAAG
rnacentral:lncRNA from 1 species